rnacentral:rRNA from 1 species
CGUAGGCGGGGAGGUAAGUCGGGUGUGAAAUCCCUCGGCCCAACCGAGGAACUGCGCCCGAGACUGCUUCUCUUGAGUCCCGGAGAGGAAGAUGGAAUUCCCGGUGUAGCGGUGAAAUGUGUAGAGAUCGGGAGGAACACCGGUGGCGAAGGCGGUCUUCUGGACGGUGACUGACGCUGAGGCGCGAAAGCGUGGGGAGCAAAACG